rnacentral:rRNA from 1 species
UACGGAGGGUGCGAGCGUUAAUCGGAAUUACUGGGCGUAAAGCGUGCGUAGGCGGCUCGUUAAGUCAGAUGUGAAAGCCCCGGGCUUAACCUGGGAACGGCAUUUGAUACUGUCGAGCUAGAGUUUACUAGAGGGGAGUGGAAUUUCCGGUGUAGCGGUGAAAUGCGUAGAGAUCGGAAGGAACACCAGUGGCGAAGGCGACUCCCUGGAGUAACACUGACGCUGAGGUACGAAAGCGUGGGUAGCAAAC